GGUUAAGCGACUAAGCGUACACGGUGGAUGCCCUGGCAGUCAGAGGCGAUGAAGGACGUGCUAAUCUGCGAUAAGCGUCGGUGAGGUGAUAUGAACCGUUAUAACCGGCGAUUUCCGAAUGGGGAAACCCAGUGUGAUUCGUCACACUAUCAUUAACUGAAUCCAUAGGUUAAUGAGGCGAACCGGGGGAACUGAAACAUCUAAGUACCCCGAGGAAAAGAAAUCAACCGAGAUUCCCCCAGUAGCGGCGAGCGAACGGGGAGGAGCCCAGAGCCUGAAUCAGUGUGUGUGUUAGUGGAAGCGUCUGGAAAGGCGCGCGAUACAGGGUGACAGCCCCGUACACAAAAAUGCACAUGCUGUGAGCUCGAUGAGUAGGGCGGGACACGUGGUAUCCUGUCUGAAUAUGGGGGGACCAUCCUCCAAGGCUAAAUACUCCUGACUGACCGAUAGUGAACCAGUACCGUGAGGGAAAGGCGAAAAGAACCCCGGCGAGGGGAGUGAAAAAGAACCUGAAACCGUGUACGUACAAGCAGUGGGAGCCUCUUAAUGGGGUGACUGCGUACCUUUUGUAUAAUGGGUCAGCGACUUAUAUUCUGUAGCAAGGUUAACCGAAUAGGGGAGCCGAAGGGAAACCGAGUCUUAACUGGGCGUUAAGUUGCAGGGUAUAGACCCGAAACCCGGUGAUCUAGCCAUGGGCAGGUUGAAGGUUGGGUAACACUAACUGGAGGACCGAACCGACUAAUGUUGAAAAAUUAGCGGAUGACUUGUGGCUGGGGGUGAAAGGCCAAUCAAACCGGGAGAUAGCUGGUUCUCCCCGAAAGCUAUUUAGGUAGCGCCUCGUGAAUUCAUCUCCGGGGGUAGAGCACUGUUUCGGCAAGGGGGUCAUCCCGACUUACCAACCCGAUGCAAACUGCGAAUACCGGAGAAUGUUAUCACGGGAGACACACGGCGGGUGCUAACGUCCGUCGUGAAGAGGGAAACAACCCAGACCGCCAGCUAAGGUCCCAAAGUCAUGGUUAAGUGGGAAACGAUGUGGGAAGGCCCAGACAGCCAGGAUGUUGGCUUAGAAGCAGCCAUCAUUUAAAGAAAGCGUAAUAGCUCACUGGUCGAGUCGGCCUGCGCGGAAGAUGUAACGGGGCUAAACCAUGCACCGAAGCUGCGGCAGCGACACUAUGUGUUGUUGGGUAGGGGAGCGUUCUGUAAGCCUGUGAAGGUGUACUGUGAGGUAUGCUGGAGGUAUCAGAAGUGCGAAUGCUGACAUAAGUAACGAUAAAGCGGGUGAAAAGCCCGCUCGCCGGAAGACCAAGGGUUCCUGUCCAACGUUAAUCGGGGCAGGGUGAGUCGACCCCUAAGGCGAGGCCGAAAGGCGUAGUCGAUGGGAAACAGGUUAAUAUUCCUGUACUUGGUGUUACUGCGAAGGGGGGACGGAGAAGGCUAUGUUGGCCGGGCGACGGUUGUCCCGGUUUAAGCGUGUAGGCUGGUUUUCCAGGCAAAUCCGGAAAAUCAAGGCUGAGGCGUGAUGACGAGGCACUACGGUGCUGAAGCAACAAAUGCCCUGCUUCCAGGAAAAGCCUCUAAGCAUCAGGUAACAUCAAAUCGUACCCCAAACCGACACAGGUGGUCAGGUAGAGAAUACCAAGGCGCUUGAGAGAACUCGGGUGAAGGAACUAGGCAAAAUGGUGCCGUAACUUCGGGAGAAGGCACGCUGAUAUGUAGGUGAAGUCCCUCGCGGAUGGAGCUGAAAUCAGUCGAAGAUACCAGCUGGCUGCAACUGUUUAUUAAAAACACAGCACUGUGCAAACACGAAAGUGGACGUAUACGGUGUGACGCCUGCCCGGUGCCGGAAGGUUAAUUGAUGGGGUUAGCGGUAACGCGAAGCUCUUGAUCGAAGCCCCGGUAAACGGCGGCCGUAACUAUAACGGUCCUAAGGUAGCGAAAUUCCUUGUCGGGUAAGUUCCGACCUGCACGAAUGGCGUAAUGAUGGCCAGGCUGUCUCCACCCGAGACUCAGUGAAAUUGAACUCGCUGUGAAGAUGCAGUGUACCCGCGGCAAGACGGAAAGACCCCGUGAACCUUUACUAUAGCUUGACACUGAACAUUGAGCCUUGAUGUGUAGGAUAGGUGGGAGGCUUUGAAGUGUGGACGCCAGUCUGCAUGGAGCCGGCCUUGAAAUACCACCCUUUAAUGUUUGAUGUUCUAACGUUGGCCCCUGAUCGGGGUUGCGGACAGUGUCUGGUGGGUAGUUUGACUGGGGCGGUCUCCUCCUAAAGAGUAACGGAGGAGCACGAAGGUUGGCUAAUCCUGGUCGGACAUCAGGAGGUUAGUGCAAUGGCAUAAGCCAGCUUGACUGCGAGCGUGACGGCGCGAGCAGGUGCGAAAGCAGGUCAUAGUGAUCCGGUGGUUCUGAAUGGAAGGGCCAUCGCUCAACGGAUAAAAGGUACUCCGGGGAUAACAGGCUGAUACCGCCCAAGAGUUCAUAUCGACGGCGGUGUUUGGCACCUCGAUGUCGGCUCAUCACAUCCUGGGGCUGAAGUAGGUCCCAAGGGUAUGGCUGUUCGCCAUUUAAAGUGGUACGCGAGCUGGGUUUAGAACGUCGUGAGACAGUUCGGUCCCUAUCUGCCGUGGGCGCUGGAGAACUGAGGGGGGCUGCUCCUAGUACGAGAGGACCGGAGUGGACGCAUCACUGGUGUUCGGGUUGUCAUGCCAAUGGCACUGCCCGGUAGCUAAAUGCGGAAGAGAUAAGUGCUGAAAGCAUCUAAGCACGAAACUUGCCCCGAGAUGAGUUCUCCCUGACUCCUUGAGAGUCCUGAAGGAACGUUGAAGACGACGACGUUGAUAGGCCGGGUGUGUAAGCGCAGCGAUGCGUUGAGCUAACCGGUACUAAUGAACCGUGAGGCUUAACCUU
rnacentral:rRNA from 1 species